CUGCAACGCUCCAAUGGCUCGGGAGGUGAAGGUGGAGUCAUGCGUCCUCCAAAACAUGACCAGCCUGACCACGCUUCUUAACACCCGCCCGCUUAACCCAGAAGCCAGCCACACCAAUGUCGGAGGAAGCACCGUUCAUCUGACGACUGAGAAGCUCUGCCCGGCGGAGCGAAACUAUGACGUGCUGGAUCGGGAGCUGCUGGCUGUCGUCAGGGCCCUGAAGGUGUGGAGACAUUGGCUUGAGGGGGCUCAACACCAUUUUCUCAUCUGGGCUGACCACCGUAAUCUAGAGUACAUUUGGGCAGCGAGGAGACUGAACCCUCGUCAGGCAAGGCUUCAUGUAAAUAUUUCGCAAACGUAAACACACAAUGGACAAAAAACAAACAAACAGUAGUCUCUGGGAUGCAGUGUGGAAUGGUGAUUUUCCGUGCCACGAUGCCACUGAAAGUCUUGCACACUUUCUCAAGAAUGCUAUGAUUUGAUAACCGUGAGUGAAGACGUGCAAGAUAUGUGAGAGACAAACUGGCGGCCAUAAGAGAGGUCUGGGAAAAUGGGUGGAGCGUCUGCCAUACCUCUACAACCCUGGAACUGAAGUAACAGUGGAUGAGCAACUGGUUCCAUUCAGAGGUCGCUGUCCUUUCCGGCAGUAUAUGCUCAGCAAGCCAGCAAAGUAUGGCAUCAAGAUAUGGGUGGCCUGUGACGCACAAUCCAGCUACGCUUAGAAGAUGCAAGUCUACACAGGGAAGCCGACCAGUGGAGGCACGGAGAAGAACCAGGGAUGCGAUUUUUGCUUGAUGUGACAGAGGGGGGGGCACAAUGUCACAUGUGACAAUUUCUUCACCUCUUAUGAACUCAGCCAGCAGCUCCUGAAGAGGAAGAUCACGAUGGUUGGCACAGUUAGAAAGAACACUCCUGAGCUCCCCCUGCACUCCUCACACCAAGGGGGAGAGAGGCCUUCUCAUCAAAGUAUGCCUUCACCCUUACCACCACUCCAGUUUCUUACCUCCCAAAGAUGAACAAGAAUGUGGUUCUCCUGAGCACACUGCACAAAAUGGCUGAGACCAGUGAUAGUGAGGACAGGAAACCAGCCAUCAUCCUGGACUACAACCACAACAAAGGAGGCAUGGACAACCUGGACAAGGUGAUUGGAACUUACAGCUACAGGAGGAUUAGUGCCCACUGGUCCCUGGUCAUCUUCCAUAACAUCAUUGAUGUGUCCUCAUACAAUGCCUUCAUCAUAUGGAACAAGAUCAACCCUACCUGGGUGCCUGAUAAGCGGAACAAGAGGAGGGUGUUCCCUGGGCAGCUGGGAAAGGCACUUGUAACCCCACACAUUCAAAGAAUGGAGCGCCUCCCCCGCACAGCAGCCUCUGCAGCACUUGUGAAAGCUGUACAGAGGGCUGAAUCUUGGCCUGAUCCACCUGAGGCUGCAGCUGGGGCAGGCAAGAGGAGGUGAUGCCAAUUCUGCCCCCAAACGAAGAACUGUAAAUCAAAUACUAUGUGCUUCACAUAUGAGAAAUACAUCUUCAAAGUCAUGCACACACACUUGCAUAUGGUCCCACAUGUGCUAAUUAGAGUUGAUUGAUUUAUGUUCUUCACAUUU